UUGGGCUCAACCCAAGAUAGACAGUGGAAACCACUUAUAAAACUAGAGUAUAAUAGGGGCAAAGGGAAUUUCUAGUAGAAUAAUUUUGAUUUGAACAUUAAUCAACAUUUUAAACAGCUGUGAAAUGCGUAGAGAACGAAAAGAACACCAACGACGAAAGCACUCUGCUGGGUCGAUACUGACACUGAGAGACAAAAUUUAGGGGGACAAAUUGGAUUAGAUACCCCAGCAGUUUUAGCCAUAAAUGAUGGAUAUAUACUAGGCAUUGCGCGUAUCGACUCAUUCAAUUCCAUAGCUAACGUGUUAAGUAUCCUGCC
rnacentral:ncRNA from 1 species